UUGUUGGAUCAGUUGUUAGUUUAUUUCCUCCAGGAACACAAUGACACUUUUUGAGGGACUUGUUGCACUUGUUGGCUAGUUGCGACUACUUGUAGUUGCUGUGAAUUAUAUCAUUGUUGCUUGCUUACAUUUACAUUUUACAUUUAGUCAUUUAGAAGACGCUCUUAUCCAGAGCGACUUGCGGUAAGUACAGGGACAUUUUCCCUUUUUGGUCUAAACUUUGGUAGGGACACUGGUAGGGUGUAUUAAGUAGUUUACAGUGUCAGACUACUGACAGCUCUCUUUCUCCAAGUCAAGAUUCAAGUGUUUUUGACUCUGUCACUUCAGCCAAUUGAAUGACUUCAUCUUGUCUUGCAGGCUCGAGGGCGCAUUGGUUAAUUUGGAAAUUUAUUUUUCACUUUUCUGGGCGACAAACAAUAAUACCAAUGAGUUUUGCAAAUUUGUGCAAAACAUUUUUUUCUGAGUCGAUCCAAAUUGCAGCACAAAGGAGUUCGCUAAAAUAUUGGUGGGGACAAUUUUGUCAACCUAGCAUCCCCCCAAAACCUUGGUUGCAAUGUUGUGCAGUGUGUGUGUGAGAUGUGGCUGCAGAAGCUGCAGCAUCACGUUAUUGGACCCUGCAGUGCUGGUCUCACUGGACCCUGCAGUGCUUGUCUCACUGGACCCUGCAGUGCUGGUCUCACUGGACCCUGCAGUGCUUUUCUCAAUGGACCCUGCAGUGCUGGUCUCACUGGACCCUGCAGUGCUUGUCUCACUGGACUGAUGAUUUACUGGAAAGCUGACCCAACUCAAAGACAUGAGACUGAUCAACGUGGUGGUGAUCUCUCUCUCGCAGGACAUGAGACUGAUCAACGUGGUGGUGAUCUCUCUCUCGCAGGACAUGAGACUGAUCAACGUGGUGGUGAUCUCUCUCUCGCAGGACAGACUCUCCUGUUAUUGUUCCAUUAAAAAGCUUUCAGCAGUAAAUGCGAGGUAUGACUUACACAACCACAUGCUUUCCAAGGGGUAGAGACCCCAAACAUCUUUAUUUAUCAAAAACAAAACUUAAAAAAAUUACAAAUACGACCAUACAAAAGUGACAUGAAAUCAGUUAAAUAGCACUUUGGUGAUGGUACAGAUAAAUAUUGUGGUAUAAGAUUUAUGAUGAUAUUUAUGUGAAGUACACAGCAGGACUCCAGGGAGACCUGCAGUCUCAGUCACACCCAGAAAGACCAGUCACACCAGAAAGACCAGUCACACCAGAAAGACCAGUCACACCCAGAAAGACCAGUCACACCAGAAAGACCAGUCACACCCAGAAAGACCAGUCACACCAGAAAGACCAGUCACACCCAGAAAGACCAGUCACACCCAGAAAGACCAGUCACACCCAGAAAGACCAGUCACACCCAGAAAGACCAGUCACACC